rnacentral:rRNA from 1 species
CGGGUUGAAGCAUGACCGUAAGGACAUGUGGACAGUAUGGGAGUGAGAAUGUUGGCAUGAGUAGCGAGAUGUGGGUGAGAAUCCCACAGGCCGUAAACCCAAGGUUUCCAGGGGAAGGUUCGUCCGCCCUGGGCUAGUCGGGACCUAAGCUGAGGCCGAAAGGCGUAGGUGAUGGACAACAGGUUGAUAUUCCUGUACUACCGAUAACCGUUUGAGAGAUGGGAUGACACAGUAGGAUAAGCUAAGCACACUGUUGGUUAUGUGUGCCCAAGCAUUGAGGCAGUCAGAGUAGGUAAAUCCGCUUUGAUAAUGCUGGGAUGUGAUGGGGAGCGAAAUUUAGUAGCGAAGUAGCUGAUUUCACACUGUCAAGAAAAGUCUCUAUCGAGGUUAAAGGUACCCGUACCGCAAACCGACACAGGUGGGUGAGGAGA